CCUACGGGAGGCAGCAGUGAGGAAUAUUGGUCAAUGGGCGCGAGCCUGAACCAGCCAAGUAGCGUGAAGGAUGACUGCCCUACGGGUUGUAAACUUCUUUUAUAAAGGAAUAAAGUGAGGCACGUGUGCCUUUUUGUAUGUACGUUAUGAAUAAGGAUCGGCUAACUCCGUGCCAGCAGCCGCGGUAAUACGGAGGAUCCGAGCGUUAUCCGGCUUUAGUGGGUUUAAAGGGAGCGUAGAUGGGUUGUUAAGUCAGUUGUGAAAGUUUGCGGCUCCACCGUAAAAUUGCCAUUGAUACGGGCAGCCUUUAUUACAGUUGAGGUAGGCGGCAUUCGUGGUGUAGCGGU
rnacentral:rRNA from 1 species